AUGCACUUUGACGGGUCCAAGAUGCGCACCGGCUUGGGAGCCGGCAUCGUCCUCACCUCUCCCAAAGGCGACAAGCUCAAGUACACACUGCAGAUCCACUUCGCCGCCUCCAACAACGUGGCCGAGUACGAGGCGCUCGUACAUGGGCUCCGGCUAGCCAAAGAGCUCGGCAUACGCCGGAUCCUGUGUUACGGCGACUCAGACUUGGUGGUCCAGCAGUGUCUGGCGACUGGGACGCCAAGGACGCGAACAUGGCGAGCUAUCGAUUCCUCGUCCAGCAGAUCAGCGGAUACUUCGAAGGGUGCGAGUUCCUUCACGUGCCAAGGGCCGACAACAACCAAGCAGAUGCCCUAG
rnacentral:rRNA from 1 species